GCCAGCAUUUUCAUAUGUCUAUCAUCAUGUCCUCUCAGUUCCUUGAUUUCUUUGCUCUGCUCUGUCUCAACUAUCAAGUCUUAUGAAUAUUUUUUUCUCCCUUCCAAUGGGUCAUUUUGGAAAGGAGAAAAAAAUAUUCAUAAGACUUGAUAGUUGAGACAGAGCAGAGCAAAGAAAUCAAGGAACUGAGAGGACAUGAUGAUAGACAUAUGAAAAUGCUGGC
rnacentral:miRNA from 1 species